rnacentral:rRNA from 1 species
AUUGAACGCUGGCGGCAGGCUUAACACAUGCAAGUCGAGCGGGGUGAUGGUGCUUGCACUAUCACUUAGCGGCGGACGGGUGAGUAAGGCUUAGGAAUCUGCCUAUUAGUGGGGGACAACAUCUCGAAAGGGAUGCUAAUACCGCAUACGUCCUACGGGAGAAAGCAGGGGAUCACUUGUGACCUUGCGCUAAUAGAUGAGCCUAAGUCGGAUUAGCUAGUUGGUGGGGUAAAGGCCUACCAAGGCGACGAUCUGUAGCGGGUCUGAGAGGAUGAUCCGCCACACUGGGACUGAGACACGGCCCAGACUCCUACGGGAGGCAGCAGUGGGGAAUAUUGGACAAUGGGGGGAACCCUGAUCCAGCCAUGCCGCGUGUGAAGAAGGCCUUAUGGUUGUAAAGCACUUUAAGCGAGGAGGAGGCUCUUUUGGUUAAUACCCAGAAUGAGCGGACGUUACUCGCAGAAUAAGCACCGGCUAACUCUGUGCCAGCCGCCGCGGUAA